rnacentral:lncRNA from 1 species
AGACAGGCAUAUGGCUGUGGUGGAGACCGGGGCCCUGGAGACAUGGCAUUUGUAUGUAAGGUGAAGAAGGGCAUUCUAUCCCAAAGCCACUUAGUCACCAGAAUCAACCAUCUUUGAACACAUCAUUUCUCACAAGGCAGUUCUUGGUGAAAGUCACAGUUGGUUGCAGCAGUCCUCAGAAGAACCUGUGACAUCCUAGAGACCACAAGUUGAUGAUGCACUGAAGGUUUCAUUCUCCUCAGUAAGGGAAAUGUUUUUAUGUUGUCUCUUUGGACCUCAGAGAUUUCAAGAUAAUAUGGAAAGUUAUUUUCAUGGGUCUCAGAAGAGAAGGCUCAGGAUUCUGAGUAUGCACUUUGACACCAAGCCAACUUGUGAUGCUCUGCCUAAUUCUGGCCCAUGGAAUGACUAUAACUUUCCUUCUUGGUGUUUCUUUACAUCUUCAUUCUAAUUCACUUUAUUCACACCAAAGCUCUGAAGUUGUGGGAAUGGUGUACUUACAUUCCAUGUUCUGAGAAGAUGGUGACUUCCAUAUAACUCCUCCUAGUAGCAGGAAUCACACCAGUGUCUGCUAUGUUCACCUACCCCUUUAUUCUGCUGUGAGCACUUCCAUAAAUGUGGGCUCAAAUCCAAUGCUCAUGUUAGACAGCAAGCCAGCUAGCCAACUGUCAAUUACUAAUAACUCAUACCAUCAAUGUCCAGUUGACCUCUGGAUCAAGCAAGGAAAGUCAAUCCAGUUAAAAUCCAGGCCCAGACAAAAUAUGAAUAUUUGGAGCAUAUGUGUUCUGAGAAUGUACUAUGUAGAGCUCCUAAGCAAAACAAGCAAGUUUUUCUUAUUUUUAAUUGAGGUCUAGGUGUGCUCAUUCACUUUGGAGAGACUGUGCUACAUUCUCUGACAUCUGUAUCCCACAUUCUUGCUAAGUAGUCAUCUUUCUUAGGGUUUCUAGUGCUCUCAAGAGACACCGUGAUCACAGCAACUCUUAUAAAGAAAAUCAUUUAAUUGGAGCUGGCUUAUAGUUGAGAAUUUUAGAGAAGGGCAGGAUGCAGGCCAACUUGGUGCUGGAGAAGAAGCUGAGAGCUCUGCAUCUGGCCUCAGACAGGCAGGCAUCAGGAAUAGAAUGCCCCAAUGCCCCAGGCUUGAGCAUCUGAGUCUUCAAAAUCCAUCCCCAGGGACAACUUCCUCCAACAUCACCAAACCUAUUCCAACAUUUGAUGAAUAUCUACAAUGUACCGCACUGCUAGACAGAAGGAUAAAAGGUGUACCAGAUAAGUAAAUAGCCUGCCAUCAUGAAAGUGGGAAACACACGAAAUAAGCAGGAAACAUCACUGAUUCUCACAGCCUAGAGUACUUAGUGACUACUGCCUCUGACCAAAGCAGAAUUCUCUCCUCUGCUGUUUCUGACUUGUGCCAAUAUGAAGAACUCCUUGGAGCCUAUCAUCUCAUCAGCGCCAACUAUAGUCCAUGAUGAAGGUUUGGGAAUGAUGUAAGAUGCUAAGAUAUCUGCAGAACUAUAGAGGGUGGACAAUGAGGUGGUUGGCAUCAUUGUGGAAACUAGUGAAUGCGAACUUGUUUCAAAUCCAACGAACACCCCACUUUUCUGACACAGUGGCAGGAUAUAUUCUAUACCAGAUGAACUGAUUGAUACCCAAUGCAUAGAAGCCCCUGAUUAUCUAUGAAGUUCCCACCAGAAUGGAGAUUUGGCAAAGAGACAAUUAGCACCAGGGUGGUAGUGAUGAUGACUAAAAACAAGUAAAAAAAUAAUAACUGGUCUUUAAAUCAGUUAGCAGGGAAGUAGAAGGUGGAGUCUAUGCCAGCUGAUUAUGAUGGAGGUCUUCAUCGUCAGCAUCCUCCAACACCUCUCAUACCUGCUAAUACCUCAUAAUGCUAGUUAUCUAGCAUUUUGAUUAAAGGUUAGAUUUAUACUAAUUCUUCUUUUUUAUAAUGUUUCUCAACUGGAGAGAGUGGAAAUGGUCAUGAAGGCAACUUGAAACAUUAGCAGAUACCAGUUUCCCACUGAGAUGGUGCCUUAAGACUGUACCUCUGGCAAGAGUCCUACAUUGCUUCAGAGAAGGAAGAAUUGAGCAAAGGCAUUUCUUACAGUUUAACAGGUCUGUAUUGUUGGCUUUGUCAGUGAUCUUAAAAUGUAAACAAAGGACAUCUGGUUCAGCCUUGUAAGCCCAUCUUCGCAGGAAGCUGGACAGGACGACCACAGUUCAAAGCAUCCCAGAGCUAUAGUGAGCUGCAUACCAGAACAGUCAGUUUAGUGAGACCCUGAUUAACCAAAACAAAGUGGGCGAAACAAGUCAUGUUAAUUGGAAGACUCUUCGAGACAAUUGGCAGAACAACCACACCUCUGAUUACCCCAGCAAUUACAACCUGUGAAGAUGCUCCCUGGAGAUAUAUUCCAGACUGAAACCUCAGAACAUUGGCAUUGUCCAUAGACACUGAUACACUUCCAGGGUGAAAGGUGCCCGAUGAAUGAGAAUUCAGUUUCUUCCUUGCCUUCCUCUUAGCUUCUGCAGACCGGUUUAUAAAGAGAAGACCCAGGCCAGAAGACGGGCCUGGUGAAACUUAGUGCCAGAGAUUUGAGUCCUGAGUCACACUGUGACAGAGAAACAAGAACUGAUUUCAAGACGGAAUUCCCCAUUAAAAAAAAAAAACAAAAAACAAAAAAACCCAAACAUAGUUAAAUAAUCAGUGACUAUAUGGC